ACCACCGGGAUGUUCAUAACCCUUUGUUGUCCGACUCUGUUGCCUCCGGGGCGACCCUGCCUUCGGGCGGGGGCUCCGGGUGGACACUUCAAACUCUUGCGUAACUUUGCAGUCUGAGUAAACUUAAUUAAUAAAUUAAAACUUUUAACAACGGAUCUCUUGGUUCUGGCAUCGAUGAAGAACGCAGCGAAAUGCGAUAAGUAAUGUGAAUUGCAGAAUUCAGUGAAUCAUCGAAUCUUUGAACGCACAUUGCGCCCCCUGGUAUUCCGGGGGGCAUGCCUGUUCGAGCGUCAUUUCACCACUCAAGCCUCGCUUGGUAUUGGGCAACGCGGUCCGCCGCGUGCCUCAAAUCGACCGGCUGGGUCUUCUGUCCCCUAAGCGUUGUGGAAACUAUUCGCUAAAGGGUGUUCGGGAGGCUACGCCGUAAAACAACCCCAUUUCUAAGGUUGACCUCGGAUCAGGUAGGGAUACCCGCUGAACUUAAGCAUAUCAAUAAGCGGAGGAA
rnacentral:rRNA from 1 species